CGUGGGGGGAUGGAAUAGACUGCAAGUCGAGCGAGAUUUUUUCCUGUAGCAAUACAGGGAAAAGUCUAGCGGCCAAUUGGUGCUUAACACGUGGGCAACCUGCCGAGAAGUGGGGGAUAGCUCGCCGAAAGGCGAAUUAAUACCGCAUGUGAUCAGAGUGGACAUCCAUUCAAAAUCAAAGUCGGGGCAACCUGACGCUUCUUGAGGGGCCCGCGGCCUAUCAGCUAGUUGGUGAGGUAACGGCCCACCAAGGCUUUGACGGGUAGCUGGUCUGAGAGGACGACCAGCCACACUGGGACUGAGACACGGCCCAGACACCUACGGGUGGCAGCAGUCGAGAAUUUUUCUCAAUGGGGGAAACCCUGAAGGAGCGACGCCGCGUGGAGGAUGAAGGUCUUCGGGUUGUAAACUCCUGUCAUUUGGGAACAAGGUGUGCGCGUUAACUGCGCGCGCAUUGAUAGUACCAGAAGAGGAAGAGAC
rnacentral:rRNA from 1 species